rnacentral:rRNA from 1 species
UACGGAGGGGGCUAGCGUUGUUCGGAAUUACUGGGCGUAAAGCGCGCGUAGGCGGAUCUGCAAGUCGGGGGUGAAAUCCCGAGGCUCAACCUCGGAACUGCCUUCGAUACUGCGGGUCUCGAGUCCGGGAGAGGUGAGUGGAAUUCCUAGUGUAGAGGUGAAAUUCGUAGAUAUUAGGAAGAACACCAGUGGCGAAGGCGGCUCACUGGCCCGGUACUGACGCUGAUGCGCGAAAGCGUGGGGAGCGAACAGG